rnacentral:lncRNA from 1 species
CUGAAGCGUUGGGCAGAAGGGAACCGAGAAGUCCAGAGCACUGAGGCAGGAGUGAGCUGGCAGGCUUCAGGAAGAUCAGUUCAUCCAGCCCUGCUAGAUGGUGCUGGAAGGAGAAGAGGCAGGAGGAAGAGAAGGACACUCUGAAGGACACUCCCGCCAGCUAUUCUGCUCUAGGAAGAACAUUCACUACCCAAUCCAGAUGCAUCAAAUCAGGGUGCUAAAUCAGGGUGCUUCAUCAGAAAGGGAUAGAUGCAAGGUAGG